rnacentral:sRNA from 1 species
AGAAGUGGACAUUGAACUUUCUCAAAUGCCAGGGUUGAUUCGGCUGACCUGGCUGGCUAGGUGGGUGUUCCCUUCCUCCCUCACCACUCCAUGUGCGUCCCUCCUGAAGCUACGCACUCAGUCGAAGAGGAUGAUCUUCCUGGAAUAGAGGAGGACCGGUCUUCGAUCAGGGUAUAUGAGUAGCUGCGCUCCCCUGCUAGAACCUCCAAACAAGCUCUCAAAUGCCUUUCUGGCAGUUAUCCAAAUCAUCUUCAUUGUUU